AUUGAACGCUGGCGGCAGGCCUAACACAUGCAAGUCGAGCGGAUGAAGGGAGCUUGCUCCUGGAUUCAGCGGCGGACGGGUGAGUAAUGCCUAGGAAUCUGCCUGGUAGUGGGGGAUAACGUCCGGAAACGGGCGCUAAUACCGCAUACGUCCUGAGGGAGAAAGUGGGGGAUCUUCGGACCUCACGCUAUCAGACGAGCCUAGGUCGGAUUAGCUAGUUGGUGGGGUAAAGGCCUACCAAGGCGACGGUCCGUAACUGGUCUGAGAGGAUGAUCAGUCACACUGGAACUGAGACACGGUCCAGACUCCUACGGGAGGCAGCAGUGGGGAAUAUUGGACAAUGGGCGAAAGCCUGAUCCAGCCAUGCCGCGUGUGUGAAGAAGGUCUUCGGAUUGUAAAGCACUUUAAGUUGGGAGGAAGGGCAGUAAGUUAAUACCUUGCUGUUUUGACGUUACCAACAGAAUAAGCACCGGCUAACUUCGUG
rnacentral:rRNA from 1 species